rnacentral:rRNA from 2 species
GCAGUCGACGAACUCUGGUAUUGAUUGGUGCUUGCAUCAUGAUUUACAUUUGAGUGAGUGGCGAACUGGUGAGUAACACGUGGGAAACCUGCCCAGAAGCGGGGGAUAACACCUGGAAACAGAUGCUAAUACCGCAUAACAACUUGGACCGCAUGGUCCGAGCUUGAAAGAUGGCUUCGGCUAUCACUUUUGGAUGGUCCCGCGGCGUAUUAGCUAGAUGGUGGGGUAACGGCUCACCAUGGCAAUGAUACGUAGCCGACCUGAGAGGGUAAUCGGCCACAUUGGGACUGAGACACGGCCCAAACUCCUACGGGAGGCAGCAGUAGGGAAUCUUCCACAAUGGACGAAAGUCUGAUGGAGCAACGCCGCGUGAGUGAAGAAGGGUUUCGGCUCGUAAAACUCUGUUGUUAAAGAAGAACAUAUCUGAGAGUAACUGUUCAGGUAUUGACGGUAUUUAACCAGAAAGCCACGGCUAACUACGUGCCAGCAGCCGCGGUAAUACGUAGGUGGCAAGCGUUGUCCGGAUUUAUUGGGCGUAAAGCGAGCGCAGGCGGUUUUUUAAGUCUGAUGUGAAAGCCUUCGGCUCAACCGAAGAAGUGCAUCGGAAACUGGGAAACUUGAGUGCAGAAGAGGACAGUGGAACUCCAUGUGUAGCGGUGAAAUGCGUAGAUAUAUGGAAGAACACCAGUGGCGAAGGCGGCUGUCUGGUCUGUAACUGACGCUGAGGCUCGAAAGUAUGGGUAGCAAACAGGAUUAGAUACCCUGGUAGUCCAUACCGUAAACGAUGAAUGCUAAGUGUUGGAGGGUUUCCGCCCUUCAGUGCUGCAGCUAACGCAUUAAGCAUUCCGCCUGGGGAGUACGGCCGCAAGGCUGAAACUCAAAGGAAUUGACGGGGGCCCGCACAAGCGGUGGAGCAUGUGGUUUAAUUCGAAGCUACGCGAAGAACCUUACCAGGUCUUGACAUACUAUGCAAAUCUAAGAGAUUAGACGUUCCCUUCGGGGACAUGGAUACAGGUGGUGCAUGGUUGUCGUCAGCUCGUGUCGUGAGAUGUUGGGUUAAGUCCCGCAACGAGCGCAACCCUUAUUAUCAGUUGCCAGCAUUAAGUUGGGCACUCUGGUGAGACUGCCGGUGACAAACCGGAGGAAGGUGGGGAUGACGUCAAAUCAUCAUGCCCCUUAUGACCUGGGCUACACACGUGCUACAAUGGAUGGUACAACGAGUUGCGAACUCGCGAGAGUAAGCUAAUCUCUUAAAGCCAUUCUCAGUUCGGAUUGUAGGCUGCAACUCGCCUACAUGAAGUCGGAAUCGCUAGUAAUCGCGGAUCAGCAUGCCGCGGUGAAUACGUUCCCGGGCCUUGUACACACCGCCCGUCACACCAUGAGAGUUUGUAACACCCAAAGUCGGU